CUAGCCGUAAACGAUGGGUACUAGGUGUGGGUGGUUUCGAUACCAUCCGUGCCGUAGUUAACGCAUUAAGUACCCCGCCUGGGGAGUACGUGCGCAAGCAUGAAACUCAAAGGAAUUGAC
rnacentral:rRNA from 1 species